UGGGGAAUAUUGGACAAUGGGCGAAGGCCUGAUCCAGCCAUGCCGCGUGUGUGAAGAAGGUCUUCGGAUUGUAAAGCACUUUAAGUUGGGAGGAAGGGUUGUAGAUUAAUACUCUGCAAUUUUGACGUUACCGACAGAAUAAGCACCGGCUAACUCUGUGCCAGCAGCCGCGGUAAUACAGAGGGUGCAAGCGUUAAUCGGAAUUACUGGGCGUAAAGCGCGCGUAGGUGGUUUGUUAAGUUGGAUGUGAAAGCCCCGGGCUCAACCUGGGAACUGCAUCCAAAACUGGCAAGCUAGAGUACGGUAGAGGGUGGUGGAAUUUCCUGUGUAGCGGUGAAAUGCGUAGAUAUAGGAAGGAACACCAGUGGCGAAGGCGACCACCUGGACUGAUACUGACACUGAGGUGCGAAAGCGUGGGGAGCAAACAGGAUUAGAUACCCGGGUAGUCCCUGAGCGGGCUGGCAAGGCGCAU
rnacentral:rRNA from 1 species